rnacentral:lncRNA from 1 species
CGUGAGUGAAGCAGCUCUUUGAGAAGCUUGAGAAAAUGCAAGUCAAGAACUUUAUAUCUAGCCAAGCUGUUCUUCAAAUGUUAACAAUAUAGAAAAGCAGUUUUGAAGACGAAAGAACACAAGAAUACUGUGCCCACGUGUCCUUUCUGACGAAUCCACUGCAGAAUUAAGUGUACUUUAUUCAACUAAGAGCUGACUGCAGACACUUCAGCAGGAGGAUUGAAGCUACCCAUCAAAUAAGAGAACCCAUUGCAGAACCAGAAGGGACAUCAUCCAAGCUGUCUGAAAUCCCGGUUGGUACUCCAGGCUUCAACAACUGCAGCACAAUGAGAGACAGCAAAGAACAUCCUGGCCUUUGACAACCCCCUGUCUUCUAACAUACUGAGGUUAAUCAGACCGAGGACAAUUUGGAAGGGGCUCUCUGCCACAACUUGGGGAGUGG